AAAGUAGAUCCUAAGAAGCCAAAAGGCAAAAUGUCCUCAUGUGUGUUCUUUAUGCAAACCUGCCAGGAGGAGCACAAGAAGCACCCGGAUGCUUCUGUCAACUCAGAGUCCUCCAAGAAGUGCUCAGAGAGGUGGAAGACCAUGUUUGCUAAAGAAAAGGGGAAAUUUGAAGAUAUGGCAAAGGCUGACAAGGCUCGUUAUGAAAGAGAAAUGAAAAAUUACAUUUCACUUCCAUCCCCCAAAGGGGUAACCAAAAAAGAAGUUCAAGGACCCAGUGCUUCCAAGAGGCCUUCGCCUUGUUCUGUUCUGAGUACCGCCCCAAAAUCAAAGGCCAGCAUCCUGGGUUAUCCAUUGGUGAUGUUGCAAAGACACUAGGAGAGAUGUGGAACAACACUGCAGUGGAUAACAAGCAGCCCCAUAAGAAGAAAGCUGCCAAGCAGAAGGAGAAGUACGAGAAGGAUAUUGCUGCCUACAGAGCUAAAGGAAAACCUGAUGCAGCGAAAAAGGGGGUGGUCAAGGCUGAAAAGAGCAAGAAAAAAGGAAGGUGAAAAGGAUGAG